CAAAAGCCAACAAUCAGUUGGGUGCUUUAGUAUAGAUGAAGAAAAAAACAUCAGGAUGAAAUCUCUACUUCAGUAGCUUAAAUACGAGAGAGAGAGAGAGAGAGAGAUAGAGAGAGACGGAGAGGAGAGAGAGAGAGAGAGAGAGA